rnacentral:rRNA from 1 species
AUUGAACGCUGGCGGCAGGACUAACACAUGCAAGUCGAGCGGAGCGGCGGACGAGGGAGUAAUGCCUAGGAAUCUGCCUGGUAGUGGGGGAUAACGUCCGGAAACGGGCGCUAAUACCGCAUACAAUGAGAAGAGCCUAGGGCGGAUUAGCUAGGUGGUGGGGGAAAGGACUAACAAGGCGACGAGCCGUAACUGGUCUGAGAGGAUGACCAGUCACACUGGAACUGAGACACGGUCCAGACGCCUACGGGAGGCAGCAGGGGGGAAUAUUGGACAAUGGGCGAAAGCCUGAUCCAGCCAUGCCGCGGGUGUGAAGAAGGUCUUCGGAUUGUAAAGCACUUUAAGUUGGGAGGCGUUACCAACAGAAUAAGCACCGGCUAACUUCGUGCCAGCAGCCGCGGUAAUUC